rnacentral:tRNA from 1 species
GUUGGUUUAUCCAGCAGGAGUAAAACCUGCCUCGGAAAUCUGAGGGUGGCCACGAACCCACAAGUCCAGAUUCGCAGGUGCGAGCGCUAAAGACUGAGCUACUGGGUCGAUGGAGAACGUCUUUCUCUGCGUCAGGGGCGGAAAGACUUAUCUCCCACCAAAAAGCAAAAACAAAAAGGAGAAGCCGGUGGCUCGUUGGUCUAGGGGUAUGAUUCUCGCUUUGGGUGUGAGAGGUCCUGGGUUCAAAUCCCAGACGAGCUCCUUUUUCCUUUUCUCCCUUUUCGGAUUUUCAGCCAGGACGUGAGACUAGGAAGGCGGAGGUAGGUUCCUGUUGGCAGGGCCUCAGUGGAGACCUUCCGGGGUCCCGGGACGCAGACGCAGCGGCCUGAAUCGCUCGCCUUGCUGAAAUGGGAUCCAGCGCGGCCAACUGCUGCAACCGCUGUUAAAGGAGACGACCCCGGGCAGCAGGAGGAAGUUAUUUAUAGGACGUUAUUUAGAAUAAGGAAGAACGCGCCGGGCUCAUUGGUCGCUCCAGGGGCAUAAAUUUUUUCUAGGAUUCGAGAGUAUGGCGGCUCAAGUCCCAGAUUCGGCUCGGCCUACAGACCUCAGCGCUAGACAUGGACGCCCUUCAAAGGACAUUUCAGCGGACGGCAGAGAAUACAGAUUUAUGUCGGGGCGGUGUGGAAGGAGCCUCUGGCGGGUCAUCCCCAUUUAUGGGAGAUCGCAGAGUGGUGAGCGAAGACUUACACCAGCGGGGGCAUCCGUGCGGAACUGAAACUGUUGUGGGGGACCCCCAGUCGCCCUGGUUUCUGGGGCUGAUUCAUUAUGUCACUUAGUUUCUACUAUUCUCAUGCCACCCCGCCAUUUACUAGACAUAAAGCAUUCUUAAGGGAGCCCGGCUAGCUCAGUCGGUAGAGCAUGAGACUCUUAAUCUCAGGGUCGUGGGUUCGAGCCCCACGUUGGGCGACUUGUUUUCUUCCUUGCUACCUUGGAGUUCUGGAAACAGCCAGCGUUUAAUGAACACUGCUAGGUGCCACAUCGCGCUCUGUGAUGGUAUCUCCUCCAUCAUUGAAUUUUGGUCCCCGCGCGCUCGCAGCAGCGAGGAUUGUCUGUGAAGUGACCAAAGGCAGCACCGGGAUUGGCUGGUUGCCAGCCGGAG